AUGGGGCAGCACCUCCUGCAUGGGCGCAGGGUUUUGCCUGGCAUUCUGCAGAAGCAUUGCUGUAUCUUACCAGACAGGAAUACAGACCAAGAAGCAAGGAAGGAAUCUGUGCUUCCGAAUUUCUCAGGAGCAGAUUUGAAGCCUGGAAGGUCACUGCUGAAGCUCUUAGGCUCAACGCCAGGCUUGCUGGGAGAGGGAGCGACGGAAGACCGCGUGACAGAACCCCAUGAAUUGGCUCCACCCCGAAAGGUGCUCCUUUCCCUGCAUGGUCACCAGCGUUUGUGUCCUUCAUGCUGGGGACCGUGCAGAGCCCAUGCAUGGAUUUUCUUGGCUUCUGCGCAUCCGUGUGUGCUGCUGCCAUCGCCCCAUUUCGCAGAUGAAGAGUCAGCUGUGUGGAGCGCAGCCAGGUGUGCGGACGGGCUUUGCUCCUUGCCAUCAGACCCCAGAGCUCUUUGUCGCCACGUUUUAAAAACUGUGCUACACAAAUACGGUUUUCCUAGCUGAUUUUCAAAGAGCAUUCUCAGUACUUCCUUGUGGUCCUAUGACCUCACGCUAUAAUUAAGGGGAGAGAGGUCUUAGUGAGAAGUCACAGUGAGCAUAUUUAACUAAACCCAUGCUGAGAAAAUUGUCUGCAAGAAAUGAAUGGUUUGCAUUAAAAAGAGCCAAGCUUUAGGGGAAGGCCAGAUUUAAUGGGGCCGCAUUCAGCAGGCCCUUAGGAAUCAAUGUGGUACCUGCAAGGUCAGCAAGGUCAGAACAGGGGAACCUGUCUGCUUACCCCUCCUGGGCUUGGGAGGCAUGGGGUCAGCCAGGCCAGCAGGUGCCCCAGGCUGGGGGUGGGUCAGGUACCCUGUGAGGGAGGGGCUCAUGUGCCUUGUGGAGGGGGGUGUCUGUGUGCCCUCUGCUUGGUGAGGGGGCUGGGUGCCCCAUGGGGGGUGCGUGUCCC
rnacentral:lncRNA from 1 species